AGGGGUAUAGUGAAAUGGCAUCACAACGGUCUCCAAAACCGUUAUUUCAGGUUCGAGCCCUGAUACCCCUGCAA
rnacentral:tRNA from 3 species